UACGUAGGGUGCGAGCGUUGUCCGGAAUUUCUGGGCGGAACGAGCUCGUCGGUGGUUUGUCGCGUUGUCCGUGAAAACUCACAGCUUAACUGUGGGCGUGCGGGCGAUACGGGCAGACUGGAGUACUGCAGGGGAGACUGGAAUUCCUGGUGUAGCGGUGGAAUGCGCAGAUAUCAGGAGGAACACCGGUGGCGAAGGCGGGUCUCUGGGCAGUAACUGACGCUGAGGAGCGAAAGCGUGGGGAGCGAACAGG
rnacentral:rRNA from 1 species